GUCCGGUCACAUUGCCGGUGUGUGGGGGGCGGACACGGAGCGGCCGGUCACCUCACUGACAGCGUCUUCUCUUCUCUCAAGUCUCCUCAAAUUUGUUUUGUGGAAGAAAAAUAUUCUUGGCGCCAUAUGUAGUUUAUGUGGUGAUAAAACUGCGCCGCCUGUGGUCGCCUCGUCCCUCUAAUGUUCAUGAGGGGAACUGCAGUUGUAGAAUCGACUUGAAGACGCGAUGACAGGAGACAGAAAAAUCCUACAGAAACGUAUAUACAGUACAGAAACGUAUACAGUACAGAAUAUUGCUGCCUGUGUUACCGCUGCUGUCAGAAGUUGCCUUUCUACAGUGGGAAGCUGGAAAUGCGACAGCUCAAGGUAAAAAUUGAAGUUCGGACCGAGAGAGGGCGAGAUCAUCUGAAAAGUCACAAACCAACUGGUUAAAUGUUACCGCAGUGAUAGGUGACCUUGACCUUAUGACUUUAUCAUGAGAACAGCAGGGCAAUGAUAAUGAAUCUGUAAGGUUCUUCAUUAAGGGGACAGAAUCUUAUCAUAAACAACGCUAAGGAAGAAUGAUUUAAAUAUGAGAGUCAACAUGGCAAGGAUGGAGAACGACUGUCGCACAAUGUGUUUCUUUAACUUAAGGAUAAAGUAGAAGAUUUCAGGUUCAGAAGACGCCGAGAUGUAAAAUAACCUUUUUUGGAAACCUUUGAGUAAAACCAAAAUGGCCACUAUUGUGACUGCGCCAGGGGUUGCUUUGCAUUCUAAUCCUGUAAUUGGCCAAUUCUCAGAGAAUCCACAAUGGUGACCACAUGAAAAGAGCACAGAAGGUAAUUUACAUCAAUCGCCGCUUGCAACUAAAAACUCUCUGAAGGUUUCGCACCAAAGUAUGUGGAGAAAAUCUCUAAAGAAAAGCGAGGCCGCCAGGAAAGAGGGAAUAUGGUCCUUUAUUUGAAAAAAAGAAAUAGAUUUUUGUUGUAACUGACAGAACAGGAGAGGGAUUUGAGAUGACGUGAAUUUCAGAACUCUGCAGCCUUAAAGAAGUUUUAAUAUAUAACUUGCUACAUCUGGACCGCAAAAGAGUCAUCUGAGAACCCUGACAGAGGAGACGAAGGGGGGGUUAAAAAAACAGCGGACAAAGGAGCGAGCCGGCACGCAGCAAAGCUGCAGAAGAAUAGAAAAACACAUUAAUCCGGGGGGACUGUAAGUAUGCAACUUAAAUAGGCAAUCAUUGGCGUCUUAAUGAUAAAAGAAACGCAGCAGCUCCCUCCCAGAGUCAUCGGAUAUCCUCGCUAAGCGCUUAUAAUACGCAGCCAUAUGGAGAACCUGCCCACACACUUGGCACCUGUUGCUUUAUAGAUCACCCCGUUCAUCAUUCCGACAGUGCAGCCAGGAGUCCGGGGCCAGCGCUCAAAUGCUUCUUUAUUCGCAAGAAGAGCGCACGUGCGUUCUGCAUUUCAGAGUUAUUAGCCCAAGAUGAGUUGGCAAAGUUUACUUCUUAAGACAGACUUGGCGGGGCCCUCACAUGCUCAAACAUUAAAAUGAAACUCUAAGAAAAUAAUAACAUUCUAGAUUUUUCUAAGAAAUAAAAAUAAAUAGUAAGAAAGGAUUCCAGAAUUUAUUAGUCAGAAAAGGAUCAAGCGAAAAAGGGCAGAGCCGCAGUCCCAUGCACGGCCCUCGGGAAAAGGACCCAAGUAAAAGCCCUAACCAAUCAUGCAGUGGUGGAGCCCCUCCAGCUGGGCCUACAGAUGAGAUGAACAUGUACAGAACAACCUAUCACUGCCACACAAACUAAUUGGGACAAGAUGUCCACUCGGGCGGAAGGUCACUUUAAUGGAACCUGAAAAAUUGGUGUUUUUACUGAUGUCCUAAAUAUGGAUGAAGAAGUGCAAACACUUUGAAGGGGUUCUCAGUUUCUCUUUUUUAAAUAAGACUUCAGGACACCAAUUUGUAUGGCUCCUCUGCUGUGACAAAGUUCGGGCCAAAAUGUGCAACUUGACAUACCGACACAAUAAUGAGAAGAUCCUACGUGACAAAAAAGUAAAUGUGACAAAGUUAGAGCAAAACUCUAGUCUACCAACAAUGAGUGUCUUCCUGCUGGAAAUGAACAGUAAUAAACCACAAUCUGUUUAUUUUCCCUGCAGCACCACAACAGGACAAAAAUAAAGGGGUACUCCGGUGGAAAACAUUUGGCUCCAGAAAGUUAAACAGAUCUGUAAAAUACUUCCAUUAAAAAAUCUUAAGCCUUCUAUGACUUAUCAGCUGCUGUAUACUACAGAUGAAGUUGUGUAGUUCUUUUUUUUGUCUGACUACACUGUUCUCUGCUGACACCUCUGUCCAUGUCAGGAACUGUCUAGAGUAGGAGCAAAUCCCUAUAGCAAACCUAUUCUGCACCGGAAAGUUCCUGGAAGGAUUAAGAUUUUUUUUAAUAGAAGAAAUUUACAAAUCUGUUUAACUUUCUGGCAAUAGUUGAUUUGAAAACAUUGUUUUCCAACGGAGUAGCCCUUUAAGUAUUUCACAUUGUUCUCUUAUAUCAAUGAUUAGUUUAUGUAACGCAGCACAGGUCCCCCAGAACGAUUCCCUCCGCUCUGACCAAGAGAUGAUCAUCCUGAACAGCCCCCACCCAUGUACUGUCAGUGAAUAGAAGUGUUGAGCAUUAAUUCUCAAACAGGAAGGCUCCAGAUAUUGCAUUACCCAUUUGGUCCAUAAGGAACCAUCAGUGGAUAUGAAAAUAUUAUAUUCCCUGCAUUCCCUCUCUUUUUCGCUUGCAGCUUGGUGUAUUCACGGUACACAUUUAUCUCACUAUAUAUUAUAUCUUUCAUUAGUCAGCUACACAUAUAUCUUAGUGGUUGAGACACUUAUAUGAUUACAUGAUCACAGUUGUGAUUUUUAUGUGUAUCACAUUUAAUAAUCACCACCACACAUUAUACAUCUUAUUUAUUUUUUAUUUUUUUAUUUUUGCACUUGAUUGGCUUAAAAUAGUUUUUUCUUGUACUUUGUUGUAUAAUAUGAUUUUUUGAUGUGAUUUUAUGUCUUUUUCUCACUUGUAUAUUUUAUGAUCUUCCAGGUAUGUAAGCGAGUGUAUAGUGAAUGCAGUGAUUACUUAGGACAUUCUUCUCAGCGGUGCGAUGUCCAGUGCGCCUGCGCCGUGUUCUUCCCUAGUGACGCAGCCCUCCGAAGCGACUUGAGUCCAGUGCGCAUGCCCGGGAACACUGUUUCUCGGUCAUGCGCAGAUGGACGUAGACGCCGGAAGUGGGGCCAGCCUUUGUUCCGGCGGGGCAUGGCGCAGGCGCCGAUGUAAUCUCCACACCGCUGUAGGUAAUUUACACCAUUAUGGCAACACAUAUAAACCACCACACCACUCACAUAGUCAGUAUCUCUUGAAAAAAGGGAAACCGAAACAAUCGUAGGGGUCGGUCGCAGAGUUUGCUAUCCGCACAUGGGUAGGUUACACAUUGAUUCUUAUUUUGAGUACUUAGAUAUGUUGUCCCCAAUAUCAUUGUAUUUCACUAUGCAUUCCUAGACCUGGCUAUACACCAGCUCUAGGUUAUAUUACCAGUUAAUCUUGAUGUAUUAUUAUGCAGCAUUUGUAUGGAUAGCCCACAGUGGCUAAACUGUUUUAUUCCAUAGAUUGCUAUAUAUAGUGUGGACAAUUUUUAUGUACUCAUUUGUAUGUACUAUUCUUACUCUGCGCCAGAUAUUUUUGUGUUGGAUUUCUAUUGCAAUACUUCACUUUUUUGCAUCUAUAUGUUUUUUAUGUAAAACAUUUUCAAUAAAGAUUUAUAUGUUUAUACUUAAGGUGGUGCUGAUAACUCCAAUCUCUCUGUAUAUAUAACUACCAGCCUUUGACUGUCGCGGCAUGCUGGAAGUUGUAGUUUUCCAACAGCUGGAGGCAACCGUUUUGGAAACAGUGCCUUAAAGUGUUAGUGUCUUUUGUAAAACUUUUUACAUGUCAUCCAGACGUGCCAAAAGUUUAGAUCGCACCACAUCUCAGUCCUUAGACCUGCAACAAGGUAGGUAUGUAUUUGUAUUUUGUUUUUAAAGGGGUUCUU